CUACGGGUGGCAGCAGUGGGGAAUAUUGGACAAUGGGGGAAACCCUGAUCCAGCAAUGCCGCGUGUGUGAAGAAGGCCUGCGGGUUGUAAAGCACUUUCGGUUGGGAGGACUGCUUCUAGCACUAAUAUUGUUGGAAGUUGACGUUACCUUCAGAAGAAGCACCGGCUAACUCCGUGCCAGCAGCCGCGGUAAUACGGAGGGUGCACGGCGUUAAUCGGAAUUACUGGGCGUAAAGCGCGCGUAGGCGGCUAGAUCAGUCGGGUGUGAAAGCCCCGGGCUUAACCUGGGAACUGCAUCCGAUACUGUCUAGCUUGAGUACAGGAGAGGAGAGUGGAAUUCCACAUGUAGCGGUGAAAUGCGUAGAUAUGUGGAGGAACACCAAUGGCGAAGGCAGCUCUCUGGCCUGAUACUGACGCUGAGGUGCGAAAGCGUGGGGAGCAAACAGGAUUAGAUACCCGAGUAGUC
rnacentral:rRNA from 1 species